UGGGGAAUAUUGCGCAAUGGGGGAACCCUGACGCAGCAACGCCGCGUGAAGGAAGAAGGCCUUCGGGCUGUAAACUUUUGUUCGCAAGGGAAGAAGACAGUGACGGUACCUUGUGAGGAAGCCACGGCUAACUACGUGCCAGCAGCCGCGGUAAUACGUAGGUGGCAAGCGUUGUCCGGAUUUACUGGGUGUAAAGGGCGCGUAGGCGGGGCAGCAAGUCAGUCGUGAAAUACCGGAGCUUAACUCCGGGGCUGCGAUUGAAACUGUUGUUCUUGAGUGUCGGAGAGGAAAGCGGAAUUCCUAGUGUAGCGGUGAAAUGCGUAGAUAUUAGGAGGAACACCAGUGGCGAAGGCGGCUUUCUGGACGAUAACUGACGCUGAGGCGCGAAAGUGUGGGGAGC
rnacentral:rRNA from 1 species